GACGAACGCUGGCGGCGUGCUUAACACAUGCAAGUCGAACGGAAAGGCCCUGCUUUUGUGGGGUGCUCGAGUGGCGAACGGGUGAGUAACACGUGAGUAACCUGCCCUUGACUUUGGGAUAACUUCAGGAAACUGGGGCUAAUACCGGAUAGGAGCUCCUGCUGCAUGGUGGGGGUUGGAAAGUUUCGGCGGUUGGGGAUGUACUCGCGGCUUAUCAGCUUGUUGGUGGGGUAGUGGCUUACCAAGGCUUUGACGGGUAGCCGGCCUGGGAGGGGGACCGGCCACAUUGGGACUGAGAUACGGCCCAGACUCCUACGGGAGGCAGCAGUGGGGAAUAGUGCACAAUGGGCGGAAGCCUGAUGCAGCAACGCCGCGUGCGGGAUGACGGCCUUCGGGUUGUAAACCGCUUUCGCCUGUGACGAAGCGUGAGUGACGGUAAUGGGUAAAGAAGCACCGGCUAACUACGUG
rnacentral:rRNA from 1 species